rnacentral:rRNA from 1 species
GACGAACGCUGGCGGCGUGCUUAACACAUGCAAGUCGAACGGAAAGGCCCUGCUUUUGUGGGGUGCUCGAGUGGCGAACGGGUGAGUAACACGUGAGUAACCUGCCCUUGACUUUGGGAUAACUUCAGGAAACUGGGGCUAAUACCGGAUAGGAGCUCCUGCUGCAUGGUGGGGGUUGGAAAGUUUCGGCGGUUGGGGAUGGACUCGCGGCUUAUCAGCUUGUUGGUGGGGUAGUGGCUUACCAAGGCUUUGACGGGUAGCCGGCCUGAGAGAGUGACCGGCCACAUUGGGACUGAGAUACGGCCCAGACUCCUACGGGAGGCAGCAGUGGGGAAUAUUACACAAUGGGCGGAAGCCUGAUGCAGCAACGCCGCGUGCGGGAUGACGGCCUUCGGGUUGUAAACCGCUUUCGCCUGUGACGAAGCGUGAGUGACGGUAAUGGGUAAAGAAGCACCGGCUAACUACGUG